UACAGAGGGUGCGAGCGUUAAUCGGAAUUACUGGGCGUAAAGGGCGCGUAGGCGGUUGUGUAAGUUGGAUGUGAAAGGCCCGGGCUUAACCUGGGAGUUGCAUCUGAUACUGCAUGACUAGAGUAGUGUAGAGGGGAGUGGAAUUUCCAGUGUAGCGGUGAAAUGCGUAGAUAUUGGAAAGAACACCGGUGGCGAAGGCGGCUCCCUGGACACAUACUGACGCUGAGGCGCGAAAGCGUGGGGAGCAAACAGG
rnacentral:rRNA from 1 species